AACGAACGCUGGCGGCAGGCUUAACACAUGCAAGUCGAGCGCCCCGCAAGGGGAGCGGCAGACGGGUGAGUAACGCGUGGGAAUCUACCCAUCUCUACGGAAUAACGCAUGGAAACGUGUGCUAAUACCGUAUACGUCCUUCGGGAGAAAGAUUUAUCGGAGAUGGAUGAGCCCGCGUUGGAUUAGCUAGUUGGUGGGGUAAAGGCCUACCAAGGCGAGGAUCCAUAGCUGGUCUGAGAGGAUGAUCAGCCACACUGGGACUGAGACACGGCCCAGACUCCUACGGGAGGCAGCAGUGGGGAAUAUUGGACAAUGGGCGCAAGCCUGAUCCAGCCAUGCCGCGUGAGUGAUGAAGGCCCUAGGGUUGUAAAGCUCUUCCACCGGUGAAGAUAAUGACGGUAACCGGAGAAGAAGCCCCGGCUAACUUCGUGCCAGCCGCCGCGGUAAAAC
rnacentral:rRNA from 1 species